rnacentral:rRNA from 1 species
CCCCAGACUCCUACGGGAGGCAGCAGUGGGGGAUAUUGCACAAUGGGCGCAAGCCUGAUGCAGCGACGCCGCGUGAGCGAAGAAGUAUUUCGGUAUGUAAAGCUCUAUCAGCAGGGAAGAAAAUGACGGUACCUGACUAAGAAGCUCCGGCUAAAUACGUGCCAGCAGCCGCGGUAAUACGUAUGGAGCAAGCGUUAUCCGGAUUUACUGGGUGUAAAGGGAGCGUAGGCGGCAUGGUAAGUCUGAUGUGAAAAUUUGGGGCUCAACCCCAAACGUGCAUUGGAAACUGCUAAGCUUGAGUGCCGGAGAGGCAAGCGGAAUUCCUAGUGUAGCGGUGAAACGCGUAGAUAUUAGGAGGAACACCAGUGGCGAAGGCGGCCUGCUGGACGGUAACUGACGUUGAGGCACGAAGUGCGGGGAGCAAACAGGAUUAGAUACCCCGGUAU